ACUCAAAUGAAUUGACGGGGGCCCGCACAAGCGGCGGAGCAUGCUGAUUAAUUCGAUGCAACGCGAAGAACCUUACCUGGGUUUGACAUAUACCGGAAAGCCGUAGAGAUACGGCCCCUUUUAGUCGGUAUACAGGUGGUGCAUGGCUGUCGUCAGCUCGUGUCGUGAGAUGUUGGGUUAAGUCCCGCAACGAGCGCAACCCUCGUUCUAUGUUGCCAGCACGUAAUGGUGGGGACUCAUAGGAGACUGCCGGGGUCAACUCGGAGGAAGGUGGGGAUGACGUCAAGUCUUCAUGCCCCUUAUGUCCAGGGCUUCAAGCAUGCUACAAUGGCCGGUACAAAGGGCUGCGAAACCGCAAGGUGGAGCGAAUCCCAAAAAGCCGGUCUCAGUUCGGAUUGGGGUCUGCAACUCGACCCCAUGAAGUCGGAGUCGCUAGUAAUCGCAGAUCAGCAACGCUGCGGUGAAUACGUUCCCGGGCCUUGUACACACCGCCCGU
rnacentral:rRNA from 1 species